CCCUCAACUUCAACAUACUAAAUUCUUGUGAAUUGUAUCUGCUCCCUACUAUAGGUUUUGAGUCGUCGAACCACCUCACUUUGGGGUCCUUAACCAUGUAAAUCCCCAUACCCGAAAAACUGUGUUCUGAGACCUUCAUAAACAAGGAGCUUUACACAAACCCUAGGUGAGCCUCCCAAGCAGAGACACCGAAUACCCUCCUCAAACAAGAUAUACACAAGUGCCGCCAGAAAAUAGUUCAUAACAAGAAGGAAGUAUCCAUCGAAUAAAAGGUCGAUUUUAGAUUACUGGUAUUUUUACUGUUUCAGUAUAAUAUUUGCCCAAGAAUUGGAAAAAAAGAAUUAGCUGUACAUGCUUAAUUAUUUGCUGCUAUACAGCUGGGCACUUUGACGGCGGAUGGAUAUGCACAUAAUUUCCCGUCGCACAGUCACUUGGCUUCAGUUGGAGAAGAAGGGCGGUGGCGAGAGAAGCUCCGGAGAUGAGGCGAACAUCAAUGCAGACAACAUGGACAGCUGGGCAACUCCGAUAGAGAAGCGUCAUGCUCUGGUCGACAAAGUUAAUGUCUUUAAGAAAUGAAGUCAGCACAGCUUGCAACAUCUGAUCUUAAAAGGAGGUUCCCAAAACAAUAUUUAUAUACAUAAAACGUUACCAUUGGUGGCAGAUCAAAUCGUGAUACAUCACUGAUGACAUCGAUGUUUAGUUAUUUAGCUUGUGGCAGAACAUCCAACGUACUCAGGGUUGUUAGUCAGGUCUGUUUUUACAGCUGUCCAGCCUCUUGGAAACCCAGACUUCGGGGACUGUGCCUCUGGCUCAGUGGGGGCUGGUUCAGCUUAGUUAGAUGGGUGUGUUGGAUGUUCAAGUUCAAGCUGAUGUAAAAAAAGUCUAGUCAAACUUUUACUCCUCCAGUGUAAAAAAAAUACUACAGGUCUUUCCAGAAACCAGCUGCCCACACAGGUUCCCUGUACUCCUCCAUUGUGGCUGCACCUUUUAUUUUCUGGUAGAUGGCAGUUAGGGCCUCUGGCAGGAGGACCAUGACUAAGUCAGAAUACAAUAAUUAAUAUACAUUCUAUACUGUCUUGGAAGAGUGUGCGUAACACGUGAGUUGAAAUACAAAUAAUGAACAACAAGGUUACCUUAGAACAUAUUGCAAUUAAUUGGAUUUCAUCGCAGUUCUCUUUUUAACCAAACGUCCUAGCAAAACCACACGCCCACUCUACAUCACUUUUGGACCCAUGUUCCAGUGGGAUCAGUAAUUGCCCAGCAGGUACCGACAUUGGGGUGACUCGUCAGCUAAUCUAGUAUCCGGGGCUCGAUCGUUAGGGUACGUCGACACGUUGUCAAGACCAGAACGACAAUGUACCCCUUGAUACCCACACGUAUUUUAACUGGUCCGGGAGGGCAAACCAGAACACUGACGUAGACUGAGGGAGUAUUGUGUGCAAAGAGCUUUUAGUUCUUUCCAGCUGUAGUUGUCAAGUUUGAGAUACAAGUCCAUUUCGUGAUCAGGAGAUGUACACUGUACUGUACACUACAGCUUUCCUGGUUUCACUUCUGCCCCCUCCCAGUUAGAUAUCUAGUACUGGUCCUCUUCUACAGUAAUAUUGCAAGCUUUUGUAAGGUAUCGUUAUGUCGUCAUUUUUGUAUUGACGUUUUUGAACAGAAAAUGAGUAUACAGAAGUAACAUUUUGUACAAUAGCUUUUGAUAUUCUGCACAAGUUUGAAGCCUGUUGAGCCCAAAGUUUAGCAUGAAUUUGCGAGAAACCCUUAUAUUUAUAUAUAUGUUGCCCAAGCUGUACAUUAAAGUUGACUUACAUGCCCACUUGUAGGAAUUUUCAGUAAGGAAGUUCAUAAUGUCCUGAUAGUGAGCAUCUGCAAAUGCCUCUAUCUGGCCUCAAGGAAUUUGCCUGCCAUUUUUUUCCCGAAGGUGUUUUUGUUCUUUCCUUUGUACUUCCAGUUUUAGAAGGGGAAAUCAGGUUUCCCAGCGUCGGUUCACUCACGGUAGACAAAACAGAAACAAAUGCAUUGCUCCUUUAGGUGUUCUAGUAAGGGUUCACUCCCUCUAGACCACAUGGCCAUGAAGUUAAUGAAUGCAUCUAUCGCGGGUGGCGUAUAUCUGACAACAGUUUUGCGUUUGUAUUCAGAUACAAACACUUGAAGUGCCUUAGGAAGCUGUUCACAUAUCAGCUUACAUUUGUACCUUUGGCAGAUUUGUGGCUCUAACUUAGCCAGUUCAGGGUGCAGCUUGUGAGGUUCAAUUUCAGGUACAACUACGACCUCCUCAUCAUGAUCAGAAUCUGAGAAGGUGUCUGUCCAGUGUCUGUCAUGACCUGAUGAUGAAGUGGAGGGAACUAUUUCAGUACUCUGAAAUCGCCAUCAGUCACCUUUUUUCUCCUUCAGUUCUCUCACUUCCUGGUCAGUCGUCUCUUUCUCCUUCUUCCGUACACUCCCCAUCACUCACCUCUUUGCCUGCCUGACUGUUACUUGAGCACUGUCUGGUAGUAUUUUUCUGAAAACAAGAUUAAUUCUGGGUGUAAGGUACACACAUCCGCACAGGGCCUACAAAGUGAAUUUCUGGCCAUCCAUAUCAGACAAGAUGUGUCACAGUCUUUCAGUCAUAGUCAAACAUGUUACAUCAUAGGAAUAUGUUACAUCAUAGCUGCCAUGCAUGUUGAAAGCAAUAACCUGAUCUGCAUUAACUAUAAUUCCUUACCAAACUUAAUCAAACCAGAAUUUCCUUGGUGGAAAAAUACUACAAUUACCAGGACAAAGAUAUUUUGAAAAUUAGGAAUAUGGCCAAACAGAUCUUACGUGGUUCUAAAUCCAACAAAAACAAUAUUGGCAGCAGACCUUGCAAUAUCUUACUGACAGAUGAUAAAAUGUUAGUAUUAAUAAACUUGUUGAAAAAGUUCACAUGGCUACUGGCUGUAUACUUCCUCUUCUGCUGCUACUGGCUGUAUACUUCCUCUUCUGCUGCCAAGCCAUUCAAUGGCAUAAAGAUCGUCUGACUCACCUUGUGACUCUUGCCCUGCCCACAGCACUGACCAGAAGACCACUCAGACAUAAUGGCAAGGGCCUAGUCAAUGACUUAAUGGGGCUUACAACAAUUGUCAGGUGGAGUUUGCCUGGAUGAAGCUAGGGGAGUGAUAUAUAGUCAUUUUUUCUAGUCUGAAUUUUCUCUUUUAUCGCCUUUUCAAGUUUUUACACUGGUUUACGACCUUUUCAAAGUCGUGAACGUCUAAAUUUCACAUGCCAAUGGCUAGACCUUAUUCUCAGAUCCAUUUGAUAUCCUUUCUUUUGACGGUCCAAUCUAAAAGUUUCAUUUUCCCUCAUGAAAUCAACCCGUCCAUCAUCAAAUAAGCUUUUUGUGUCAACGUCAGGUUCUGCAGCGGCUGCAUUACCAUCGACGGCAUCUUAACAAAUAAAUACGUUAGCGGCUACUACCGUGAUCAAUGAAAGACGACUUACAAAAAGAAACGAGAAGAUGUGUUCACAGUUAGUUAUGACAAGCAGGUAUAGGACGGAUUUGCAAAAAGGACACUUGUAAGUCUCAGACUUAACACAUACUGAAAACGUAUCUUCAUCAAAUGGAUGAUCCUCCAAGUCAUCUUGGAGUUUUAAUGUGUAGUCAAAUUAGCUGCACAGACAUCUUUAGAGGGAUAAGACGCCCCAGGUCCAGCACAGCACUAUUGACUGUUCAAUAGACUUGGAUGUACCCGGGGUAGGCAAUGCAGUGGCUUUCUUUGUUUUAGAUUUGCUGACCUGCAUAUUUUUUAACUGCCACCAUUUGAUACUUGUUCAGCUUUCUUACAUAAUUUGCAGGACAACUUAUGGUUCUUAGGGGUGUUAACAUAUGAUUCACCACACGGUACAGUUUUAUCUGCCCCUGUAUGUGUCUUGGUCUCUGCUGUAAAACAAAUGUACAUAUGUCUUAAGGCUCAGCAUAGGACAUUAAGGACAAAUUACAGAUGUAGGUAGAGGCAAAGAAAAUCACUUAACAAUUUGUAUACAAGUGCCAGAUAUCCUUACUUAGGAUAGCACUUUAUGAUAAUGGCUUUGUUCAGUGCUUGAUGAAUCCCGACUCUGUGAAAUAAACUCCCAUUAGGAGUUUGAAGAACUGC